GAAAUGCGAUAAGUAAUGUGAAUUGCAGAAUUCAGUGAAUCAUCGAAUCUUUGAACGCAUCUUGCGCUCCUUGGUAUUCCUUGGAGCAUGCCUGUUUGAGUAUCAUGAAAUCUUCAAAGUAAAUCUUUUGUUAACUCAAUUGGCUUCUACUUUGGUAUUGGAGGUCUUUGCAGCUUCACACCUGCUCCUCUUUGUUCAUUAGCUGGAUCUCAGUGUUAUGCUUGGUUCCACUCGGCGUGAUAAGUUAUCUAUCGCUGAGGACACUGUAAAAGGUGGCCAAGGUAAAUGCAGAUGAACCGCUUCUAAUAGUCCAUUGACUUGGACAAUACUUUUAUGAUCUGAUCUCAAAUCAGGUAGGACUACCCGCUGAACUUAAGC
rnacentral:misc_RNA from 1 species